rnacentral:rRNA from 1 species
ACGGCCGUACCAUGCUGAAUAUACCGGUUCUCGUUAGAUCACCGAAGUUAAGCAUCAUUGGGCGCGGUCAGUAUUUGGGUGGGUGACCACCUGGGAACACUGCGUGCCGUU